AGGACUACUGUGAAUUGUAAGCACCAGGAAUGGUUGUGCCAUUCGUGCUCUGCAUCAAGAUGUCCAGUGAGGGACCAUACUCCACUCCUGACUCAUGAUCCCUGCUAUUGUGCUCUUCUUCAUGCACAGACUAAUUCUCUUAUCGCUUACCCCUCACCGCCUGAUGCCACCCUCAACCCCUUUCCCUAAAGACAGAAAGAGCAGCUUCACUAGAACAUGAGCAAGGGUGGGAUCAUCCAAUCCACUGAAGUACUGAG